ACUCCAGCUGCUCUGCAGAGAAACCAUGUUGAAACCCUUGGGAUUUUGUGUUAUCGUUCAGCUGUCUUUGGCAGUAGGAAUAAAUGCUGAUCUGAGUGUUAAGAGGACCUCCUUUGGCUAUAAUCUAACAAACCGCUGCUACAAAUUCUCCGGUCUCUCAGUGUGGAAACAAAGCUACACCUAUACAACUCCUUCCUGUCUGUUAAUUCUGACGGAAAGAUACUGACUACGACGGACGGAGUCUGGAGGUCCCAUGACCACAGCGGAAGAGUCAUUGCUGAACUGGACAAA